GCCCCAGUAGCUCAGAGGAUAGAGCAGCGGCCUUCUAAUCCGACGGUCGGGGGUUCGAUUCCCUCCUGGGGCACCG
rnacentral:tRNA from 1 species